GUGGGGAAUCUUGCGCAAUGGGCGAAAGCCUGACGCAGUCAUGCCGCGUGGAUGAUGAAGGUCUUAGGAUUGUAAAAUCCUUUCACCGGUGAAGAUAAUGACUGUAGCCGGAGAAGAAGCCCCGGCUAACUUCGUGCCAGCAGCCGCGGUAAUACGAAGGGGGCUAGCGUUGCUCGGAUUUACUGGGCGUAAAGGGCGCGUAGGCGGACAUUUAAGUCAGGGGUGAAAUCCCGGGGCUCAACCUCGGAACUGCCGUUGAUACUGGUUGUCUUGAGUAUGAGAGAGGUGUGUGGAACUCCGAGUGUAGAGGUGAAAUUCGUAGAUAUUCGGAAGAACACCAGUGGCGAAGGCGACACACUGGCUCAUUACUGACGCUGAGGCGCGAAAGCGUGGGGAGCAAACAGGAUUAGAAACCCUGGUAGUCC
rnacentral:rRNA from 1 species